rnacentral:rRNA from 1 species
ACUAGGUGUUGUGCGUAUCGACCCGUGCAGUACCGAAGCAAACGCGUUAAGUAUCCCGCCUGGGGAGUACGCACGCAAGUGUGAAACUCAAAGGAAUUGACGGGGGCCCGCACAAGCGGUGGAGUAUGUGGUUUAAUUCGAUGCAACGCGAAGAACCUUACCAGGGCUUGACAUCCCUCGAACUUUUGAGAAAUCAGAAGGUGCCUUCGGGAGCGAGGAGACAGGUGGUGCAUGGCUGUCGUCAGCUCGUGUCGUGAGAUGUUGGGUUAAGUCCCGCAACGAGCGCAACCCACGUCCUUAGUUGCCAUCAUUAAGUUGGGCACUCUGGGGAGACUGCCGGGGACAACUCGGAGGAAGGUGUGGACGACGUCAAGUCAUCAUGCCCCUUACGUUCUGGGCUACACACGUACUACAAUGCAACGGACAAAGGGCAGCCAGCUAGCGAUAGUGAGCUAAUCCCAUAAACCGUUGCUCAGUUCAGAUUGCAGGCUGCAACUCGCCUGCAUGAAGGAGGAAUCGCUAGUAAUCGCAGGUCAGCAUACUGCGGUGAAUACGUUCCCGGGCCUUGUACACACCGCCCGUCACACCAUGGAAGUUGGCCAUGCCCGAAGUCGUUACCCUAACCGUUCGCGGAGGGGGGCGCCGAAGGCAGGGCUGAUGACUGGGGUGAAGUCGUAACAAGGUAGCCGUACCGGAAGGUGUGGCUGGAUCACCUCCUUU